GCAGAAUUAACAUUAUAAAACAAGACCAAAUGUAAGGAUGUAUGCAAACUAAAAUGAAUUAAAUUUACCUUCCAUAAUCAGCCUGACAAAUAAAUGGGAAAAGAACAAGCUUUUAUAAAGAGCAAAAUCAAAUACUGAUACUUAUUAUCUUAACAUGUUAAGAAUGGUCAUACUAGCAGCAAGCAGGCAGGACUUGAUUCCAAAUAAAAAGGUUACCUGAUCAUUCCAUUUUAAUCU
rnacentral:misc_RNA from 1 species